rnacentral:rRNA from 1 species
AGAGUUCGAUCAUGGCUCAGGAUGAACGCUAGCUACAGGCUUAACACAUGCAAGUCGAGGGGCAGCAUGAAUCAAGCUUGCUUGAUUUGAUGGCGACCGGCGCACGGGUGCGUAACACGUAUCCAAUCUACCCAUGGCUCAGGGAUAGCCUUUCGAAAGAAAGAUUAAUACCUGAUGGUUUCAUGAGCCCGCAUGGACUUAUGAAUAAAGAUUUAUCGGCGAUGGAUGAGGAUGUUUUCGAUUAGAUAGUAGGCGGGGUAACGGCCCACCUAGUCGACGAUCGGUAGGGGCUCUGAGAGGAGGAUCCCCCACAUUGGAACUGAGCCAGGAUCAAACUC